rnacentral:rRNA from 1 species
GGUGGGGAUGACGUCAAGUCCUCAUGGCCCUUAUGGUACGGGCUUCACACGUCAUACAAUGGCAGGUACAGAGGGCUGCGAAGCCGCGAGGUGGAGCGAAUCCCAGAAAACCUGUCUCAGUCCGGAUUGAAGUCUGCAACUCGACUUCAUGAAGGCGGAAUCGCUAGUAACCGCGAAUCAGCAGGUCCGCGGUCGAAUACGUUCCGGCCUU